UUGAAGUAUGUUUGUAUUAUAUAAGUUGUUAUUUUUUGUCUUAUUUUAUCGAUGUGGAACUUGUUUGUAUCCCAACAAUCCUCCACUCAAACAAGUCCCACAUCGAUAAAAUAAGACAAAAAAUAACAACAUAUAUAAUACAAAUAUACUUCAA
rnacentral:miRNA from 1 species